rnacentral:rRNA from 1 species
CCUACGGGAGGCAGCAGUGAGGAAUAUUGGUCAAUGGGAGAGAUCCUGAACCAGCCAAGCCGCGUGAGGGAAGACGGCCCUAUGGGUUGUAAACCUCUUUUGUCGGAGAACAAAACCCGGGACGUGUCCCGGACUGCGUGUAUCCGAAGAAAAAGCAUCGGCUAACUCCGUGCCAGCAGCCGCGGUAAUACGGAGGAUGCGAGCGUUAUCCGGAUUUAUUGGGUUUAAAGGGUGCGUAGGCGGUCCGUUAAGUCAGCGGUAAACUUGAGGGGCUCAACCCCGUAGUGCCGUUGAAACUGGCAGACUUGAGUAGGCGAGAGGUACGCGGAAUGCGCGGUGUAGCGGUGAAAUGCAUAGAUAUCGCGAAGAACUCCGAUUGCGAAGGCAGCGUACCGGCGCCAGACUGACGCUGAGGCACGAAAGCGUGGGGAUCGAACAGGAUUAGAUACCCGAGUAGUC